AUGCCGCACCGUCGCCGCCUACACAGCCUCGCGCCGCUGCCGCCGCCUCCCCCUUCGCCUCACACCGCCUUCGACCUGUCCGAGGCCGAGUCGCGGCUGCCACUCCUCGCAGACUACGGGCGGCUCAAGCCCGUCGACGACCUCCCCGCCCCCGUCGCGCCGCCGUCCGCGCACUGGAGCGCCGGGAGCGCCUUCACCGGCACCGAGCCCGCGACCGCCUCCACGUCCACGGCAGCGACGGGCUCCUCCCUGCCACCGGCGUCGUCCGCCGCCAGGGACGACACGUGGGUGCGCCGCUCCAGGGAGAGCUACUACCUGCAGCUCUCCCUCGCCAUCCGCAUCACCUCCGAGGCCUUCCUCGCCGGCGUCCCGCCCGAGCUCCUCCCACGCCGCCUCGGCCCCGGCGAUGUGGCGGCGGAGCAGCACGCCGACGUCCCCGCCGAUGCCGCCGCCGUCUCCUACCGGCUCUGGGUGAACGGGUGCCUGUCGUGGGGGGACAAGAUCGCGCACGGGUUCUACAACAUCCUGGGCAUCGACCCGCACCUGUGGGCGAUGUGCAACGCCGACGAGGGGGAGGGCCCCCGGCUGCCGACGCUGGCGGCGCUGCGGGAGGUGGACGCCAGCGACCAGUCGUCGCUGGAGGUGGUGCUCGUGGACAAGUGCGGCGACUCCGUGCUGGUCGACCUGGAGCGGCGCGCGCUCGACCUCCACCGCGCGCUCGGCGCCACGCUCGACCUCGUCCGCCGCCUCGCCCUGCUCGUCUCCGACCACAUGGGGGGUGCAUUGAGAUCGGAGGACGGAGACCUGUACAUGCGGUGGAAGGCGGGCAGCAAGCGGCUGAGGAAGCAGCAGAAGAGCGUCGUCGUCCCCAUCGGCCGCCUGUCCAUCGGGUUCUGCAGGCAUCGCGCCAUUCUCUUCAAGGCUCUGGCAGAUUUUAUCGGCCUGCCGUGCCGAAUCGCGCAAGGCUGCAAGUACUGCUCUGCACCUCACCGGUCCUCUUGCCUUGUCAAAAUUGAAAACGAGAGAAGAUAUUCAAGGGAGUACGUUGUGGACCUCGUGGUCGUGCCAGGGAGCAUCUGCAACCCAGACUCGUCCAUCAACGGCCAGCUGCUCUCCUCUGUGUCUUCGCCUUUCAAGACUUCUUGCACCGCAAGUUUGGAAAACUAUGCGGCACCAGUUACAGCUUGGAAUCGUGCGAUAGCUGAUGAUCGUUGCAACUCGAUGUUCUCAGAUUCUCAAUAUUCAGCAGUUGCCGGGAACAAGAACUCUGUUCAGGCAGACACCAAAGAGGGUGUGGUGCUGAAAUGCGGUCAGGUCAUGCAGAAUGACAACUGCAACAACAUGUCAGUGUUUCAAGUGUCAAGGCAAUUGAAGGCGAUGGAGGUCGGCACCGAGGAUGUCAAUAAGGAGAACAUCCCUGGUCUUACACUGCCAAAACACCUGCUCGCUGAGUCAUCUUUUGCCAUGGAUUGGCUUGAGAUAUCAUGGGAUGAGCUUGAGCUCAAGGAACGCAUAGGCGCUGGUUCGUUUGGUACCGUUUAUCGAGCUGACUGGCAUGGUUCUGAUGUUGCAGUAAAAGUGCUUACAGACCAGGGUGUUGGCGAAGCUCAGCUCAAAGAAUUCCUUAGAGAGAUCUCUAUCAUGAAACGAGUUCGCCAUCCAAACGUGGUAUUAUUCAUGGGCGCAGUGACAAAGUGCCCGCAUUUGUCGAUAGUAACCGAGUACUUGCCCAGAGGGAGCCUCUUCCGUCUCAUCAGCAAAGCUUCCGGUGGGGAAAUACUUGAUUUACGGCGGCGUUUGCGCAUGGCAUUAGAUGUUGCAAAAGGCAUCAACUAUCUCCACUGCCUGAACCCUCCUAUCGUACAUUGGGAUCUGAAGACACCAAACAUGUUGGUGGACAAGAACUGGUCUGUAAAGGUAGGUGACUUUGGCUUGUCCAGAUUUAAGGCGACCACAUUCAUAUCGUCGAAAUCAGUCGCUGGAACACCAGAAUGGAUGGCGCCAGAGUUUCUCCGUGGCGAGCCAUCCAACGAGAAAUGUGACGUGUACAGCUUCGGCGUGAUCUUAUGGGAGCUCCUGACUAUGCAGCAACCAUGGGGCGGCCUAGGCCCAGCACAAGUAGUAGGAGCAGUUGCAUUCCAGAACAGAAGGCUCCCAAUCCCCAAAGAUACCAUCCCAGAACUAGCUGCUCUUGUUGAAUCAUGUUGGGCUGAUGAUCCAAGGCAGCGCCCUUCGUUUUCAAGCAUUGUGGAUACGCUCAAGAAGUUGCUCAAGUCGAUGCAGGGAUCCGGUUCAUGA
rnacentral:rRNA from 1 species